rnacentral:lncRNA from 1 species
AGACUAAUAUCCAUACAAAUAUUUUUUACUUCAAUCUAAUGUAUAAAUUACUAAAGAUCUUAGAAAUAUCUAUUAAUCCUCAAAUUCUAAUUUUUGAGACUUCAACUCACAAAAAUCUUUAUAUACUUUGAUUUAACUAUUCAAUUGAUCUCAAAAAAUUUCCACACAUUUACAACUAGUACAUCAACACACUCUCCAAAAUUCAUCCAUACACAUACCACAAAACUCAAGAAACCUUCAAAUUUGUAAACAUAUUGUUGUUUUUCAAAAUCUAAACCACCAAGAACAUCACUAUCUUUGAAAAUCCUUCAAAAACUCAGUAUUGAAUCAAUCAACAUAAAAUUAAUACGCAAA